rnacentral:tRNA from 1 species
GGAGAGAUGCCAGAGCGGUCGAAUGGGCUACCCUGGAAAGGUAGUAUGUCCGAAAGGGCAUCGAGGGUUCGAAUCCCUCUCUCUCCGCAA